UGGGUAACCUGCCUCAAAGAGGGGAAUAGCCUCCCGAAAGGGAGAUUAAUACCGCAUAAUAUGUUUAGGUCGCAUGACUUUAACAUCAAAGGAUUUUCUUUUAAGAAAUUCCACUUUGAGGUGGACCCGCGGCGCAUUAGCUAGUUGGUGAGGUAACGCCCACAAGGCAACGAUGCGUAGCCGACCUGAGAGGGUNAUCGGCCACAUUGGAACUGAGACACGGUCCAGACUCCGUAGGGAGNAGCG
rnacentral:rRNA from 1 species